GUGGGGAAUUUUGGACAAUGGGCGCAAGCCUGAUCCAGCAAUGCCGCGUGCAGGAAGAAGGCGCUACGCGUUGUAAACUGCUUUUAACCGGGAAGAAACCCCAGGACGUGUCCUGGGUUGACGGUACCGGAGGAAUAAGCACCGGCUAACUUCGUGCCAGCAGCCGCGGUAAUACGAAGGGUGCAAGCGUUAUCCGGAUUCAUUGGGUUUAAAGGGUGCGUAGGCGGAGCGUUAAGUCAGUGGUGAAAUCCUGCAGCUUAACUGUAGACUUGCCAUUGAUACUGGCGCUCUUGAGUGCGCUUGAAGUGGGCGGAAUGUGCCGUGUAGCGGUGAAAUGCUUAGAUAUGGCACAGAACACCAAUUGCGAAGGCAGCUCACUAAGGCGAUACUGACGCUGAGGCACGAAAGCGUGGGGAUCGAACAGGAUUAGAUACCCCGGUAGUCC
rnacentral:rRNA from 1 species